AUUGAACGCUGGCGGCAUGCCUUACACAUGCAAGUCGAACGGUAACAGGUCUUCGGAUGCUGACGAGUGGCGAACGGGUGAGUAAUACAUCGGAACGUGCCCGAUCGUGGGGGAUAACGAAGCGAAAGCUUUGCUAAUACCGCAUAAGAUCUACGGAUGAAAGCAGGGGACCGCAAGGCCUUGCGCGAACGGAGCGGCCGAUGGCAGAUUAGGUAGUUGGUGGGAUAAAAGCCUACCAAGCCGACGAUCUGUAGCUGGUCUGAGAGGACGACCAGCCACACUGGGACUGCGACACGGCCCAGACUCCUACGGGAGGCAGCAGUGGGGAAUUUUGGACAAUGGGCGAAAGCCUGAUCCAGCCAUGCCGCGUGCAGGAUGAAGGCCUUCGGGUUGUAAACUGCUUUUGUACGGAACGAAAAGACUCUUUCUAAUAAAGAGGGUCCAUGACGGUACCGUAAGAAUAAGCACCGGCUAACUACGUGCCAGCCGCCGCCGUAAGAC
rnacentral:rRNA from 1 species